AAAGGAACGCUGGUCCAACCAGCAUCCUCCAACCCCAAUGCGUACCCGCCUUGUUUGCCUCGGCGUGCCUGCGUCGUCCGUGGCGCUGCCGGCUCCGGCUGGAUAGCGCACGCCAGAGGAAUUUUUAAACUCCAGCUUCAACGAGUGCAGUCUGAGCUUUAAUCAAAUAAGUUA
rnacentral:misc_RNA from 1 species